GUUACUUUGGUGCGUGAGCACGUCCCGGCUGGCCCUGGGCGGUGACUGGGAGCGCUCCACGUCCGUCCUGAGGGGCUUGAGGCCGAGUAGGGCGUUGUCUUCAGUUCCCAGCGAGGAGCCCCUCAAGUCCCCACGGCCACGAUGCUUCCGGUGAGCAAGCUCUCUCAGGAGUCGAGAAGAAUCCGGCACUGUCAUCCUUCAGAACCAGCGACUUCGGCGCACUUGCAAGCCGCUGCCAGGCUCCAGAAAUCCUAGAAGGAUGCAGUCGCUUCCCCCGCCAAGACCCCCGCCGCUCCCAUGCUACAGUGGAAGUGAGGUGCAGGAGACAGGAGGACCAGACAGUUCUCUGUCACAGUGGUCUCUUUAAAACACACCGAGGGGCCAGAGAAUAAGAUGGCCACCCUCUGAUGACUGAGUGAACAGUUUCUCCAGCUCGGCCGUAGCAGUGCUCUUCGGGGAAGGACAGGAGUCUGGCGCACAGGCAUGCAGCUCUGAGGGAUGAAAGUCAUCAGCUUACAAGGGGAUGUGAAUGUUACAGCACAGGUUGCCCUGUAUCCUCUGCCCAAGCAGAUGGCACAAUGACAUGGUGAUACAGGUAAUAAAAGUUUUCCUCCA